AACGCACCUUGCGCUCCUUGGUAUUCCGAGGAGCAUGCCUGUUUGAGUGUCUUGAAGUCAUCAACCCCUCCCGUUUCGUGCGGCGAGGUGCGUUGGAAGUGGGGGCCUGCGGUCGCGAGCCCGCUCCCCUCAAAUGCUUCGGUUGGGCCUGCGGGUCGAACUCGGUUGGGCGUUGUAACAACCUCGCUCUCCUCCGAGAUGUUCCCCUGUCUUUUGUGCCCCUCCACGACCGUCCGAAGGGUGGCGGUCAAAACAACUUUGAAAUCUGACCUCAAAUCAGGUAGGACUACCCGCUGAACUUAA
rnacentral:misc_RNA from 1 species